GGAGGGGAGUGGGGGGCGGGGGCCUGACGGAGGGCCGCUCCGCAUCUACACUCGGGCUCCUAAUUAAAGACCCGCGGAGCCCUCGGGGACCCGCCUGACGUCGGCGCGCGGGGGGAUAAGAGGCGCGCACCCCUGGCGGCCGCGGUCCCGCUCCAGACGCAGCCACGCGUCCCUGUCCCCGCGCGUCCUGAGCGCUCCGCGGGCCGGGGCGCCGCCGGGCAUGGAGUAGCGGGACGCACGGCGGCUCGGGGCGCGGGGACACACGCCGGAGGACGCCAGCGGCUCCGGAGCGCGGGGACAGGUAACAGGGCCAGGAUCCGACGCGUAGGUGGCCGAGGACCCAGGGGUUUCCAGAACCCGCACAGCAGGAGGCCGGAGCGAAGAUCCCCGCGCGGGGACUUCACGCCAGCCCACCUCCGGAGCGUCGGCCCCUCCAGCCGCGCCCACCGAGCGCAGCAUGCGUGCGCCCGGGCGUCCGCUCCUCCUGGGGUUGUUGCUGGUGCUGAGCGCGGCCGGGCCCGGCCGGGGGGUUGCGCAGCCCCGCGAGGCCGCGGAAACACAGACCCUGCUGCGGCUCAUCGCCGAGGUGGUCCAGGAGCUGAAGAAGUUCCACGCGGGCGAGUCCAAGCGGCUGCAGCUGCUGGGCCCGCAGCAGGACCCCCUGCGAGGCGGGGCGGGCGCCGAGGAGCAGCGAGCGGGCAAUAUAAUAACUUCUUUCUCCUCAAGCAGAAAUUGUCCCUCGAGAUCUGAGGAUGAAGGACAAGUUUUUGAAACAUCUCACAGGUCCUCUUUAUUUCAGUGCAAAGUGCAGCAAACACUUCCACAGGCUUUACCACAACACCAGAGACUGCACCAUCCCCGCAUACUAUAAAAGAUGUGCCAGGCUUCUUACCCGGCUGGCUGUCAGUCCACUGUGCAUGGAGGGAUAAGCAGUGAGCAGAACUGUGGCGAUCAAUGGCCUGAUAACCAUGAGAAGUGCCUUGGAAACCAACAGCGAAACAGAACCUACUACCCUCAUGUUCCCUGUGAACAGAUGUGUAUUUGCAGACAGCCUCUUCUACAAUCCCUUUGAGUUUUGUAUGGUGUUGACACCGUUUGUGGGUGCACACCCAGUAAAUCGGCAUGCCUGACAGCAAUGUCCGCCACCCAUUAAUUAGAAAAACUCAAGAGAAUGCUCCACAGCGGACAUGCAGCGUUUCACGAGGCCACAGGAAGAGACUGCAUUUCCUCAGUAGGUGAAGUCACAAAGAAUAUUUCUUUAGAAACAUAAGCAGAAUCUGAAAUUAUAUUUUCAUAUAGCAUACGGUAUGAUUUAAUAUUUUUUAUUACUUUUACAACUCCCAGAGUAUUAUUUGGAACUGCAUGAAAAAUUUAAAAAAACAAAACAAAAAACAACUUCAAUCAUGUUUUAGAGUCAGUGGACUGUAAGUGUGUGAGCACACCCGGGCUGAUUUCAUUCGUCCUUUGUAUAAGUAUAAAAUAGU